rnacentral:rRNA from 1 species
CAGCCGCCGCGGGAAUACCGAGGAUGCAAGCGUUAUCCAUAAUGAUUGGGCGUAAAGCGUCUGUAGGUGGCUUUUCAAGUCCGCCGUCAAAUCCCCGGGCUCAACCCUGGACAGGCAGUGGAAACUACCAAGCUGGAGUACGGUAGGGGCAGAGGGAAUUUCUGGUGGAGCGGUGUAAUGCGUUGAGAUCGGAAAGAACACCAACGGCGAAAGCACUAUGCUGGGCCGACACUGACACUGAGAGACGAAAGCUAGGGGAGCAAAUGGGAUUAGAUACCCCAGUAGUCCCUGUCUCUUAUAC